GUUGAAAUUCAUGCAGCUGAAAUUGUGUAAUUAUGAGAUUUUGUAGCUAGUAAUAGAAACACUUCGUUUUCGUGUAAUUGUGUUUUUACUUUAGACUACUAUGAUGAUAUGCCAAAGAAGUACUUGUUUUCAGUAUAUAUUUCAAAUAUUUUACAUUGAAUGUUUAAAGUGUUAUGAGAUAAAACUGUUAUUCAGGGAUGCAAAGCAGGAGCGGAUCCAGCCAUUUGAAAAAAGGGGGAUCCCAACUCAGGACAAAAGGGGAUUCCAAGUAUAUGUCCCCAAUAAAAUGCAUUGAUCGGCCAAAAAAAGGGGGUUCCAACUCCAGGAACCCUCCCCCUGGAUCCGCCACUGCAAAGCAUUCACUCCUCCUUUAGCUUUUCCUGAAUACAGAAGUGAGGAAUAGGAAUAACUUGAAAAUUAAUUAAGUUUACCCUGUAAUUAAAAUGAUGAUGUAUUUCAUGGGGAAAAUAUAUUUCACUAGAUUUUGCACCAAAUUAAUUAAACGGAAACUUUGCCAGAGAUAAUAACUAUUUUACCUCAGC
rnacentral:lncRNA from 1 species